AUCUAAACUACACAUUAAUAAAAUUCUCUUUAUCAAUAAAAAAAAAUAAUGAAAAAACUAUUUAAUCUUUUAUCACAACAAAUCAAAAUUAAAAUCAAAAUUCCUAGAUAAUAUCAUGUGUUAAAAAAAAAAAAAAAUUUGAAGUCAAAUUAAAAGAUGAUUCAACGUUGUAAAUUUAUUAAGCGUGUUAAGCGUGUUGACAAAACAAUUGUAAAUUUUUAUAAUUUUUUUGGAUUUUUUUGGAUUUAAUCCAGGACGCACAAUUAAAGAAUUAAAUUUUUUUUUAAAUUUUAAUAUUAUUGCACCGGCGCCCCCCUUUUUUCUCUCUUCCCUCUUCCCGGUCGUCUUGGUCUGCAACACAGCAGAGCUCUGACUGAAAUGUCACCAUGAACCUGCACCGAAGCUACAGCCUUUAUCACCCAACUAAAGAUUUGGCACCAUCAUCUUCAUUUUUUCAUGCUGCUUCAUCAUCAUGAUAUGAAUUUGCCCCAAAUAUGCUAUUUUUCUCCCUUAAUUUUUGGUUUCUUUGAUUUUCCUUUAAAAAAAAUCUAUGUUCCGUUAAGCCGUGCAGAUUGCCGGUUCCCAGGUCGAGUUGGCCAGGUCUUUCUAUGGCCUGCAGGGCGUUCGCGACGGAAGUAGAGUCGCCAGUUCUUGAGCACCAGGAGAAAGGUGCGCACAAUAAAGGCACGAGGACAUGGUUGGGCCGCACCCCGAGCGGCGAUGGUUGUCGUGGGGAGCUGUGAGGAAUCGGAGGGGGAGGAAGGUUGGGGAAGCUAUAACGAUGGUGUAAAGAUGUCAGAUGGGUGAGGCUGGGGCGGAGAUCGGGGACUCCGGGACGAGAAUCUUGAGAGAUUUUCCCACGCUGCAACCCUAAAAGGCAUCAUUCAACAUUGUCGCAUAAUCGCUGCAAUCUCUUCCCUCUGAAUUCGCGAUGAGUGAUUCGCCACAGUCCUCUUCGGAGUCAGAAUUUGCCCGGUUUCUUGAGACUUGAGAGAGACCUGGAUGGUUCUUCGGAGCCAAGAGAUGAUACUAAAAGUACAAAGAAGGUACAGGAUCUUGGAAAGACUUUGGAAACUCGUUGGUCACUGUUUGUAGAAAAAAAAAAGCAGAAGUAUCCUCGAAGUGUACUCAUCCCGGUUCCUUUGAAGAUAUGUGUAUUGUGUGUGGGCUUCCCGUAAAUGGCAAGUUGUUUGGGGAUUAAUGCUUAAAAAUGAGGAAAUUGAGAGGGUAAACAAAUAAGGCAUUAAGAAAUUGUUGCACUGUAAUAAGCUUUACUUGAUCGUGGAUCUAGAUCACACACUGCUUUAUUCCACCGAUCUGAAUCAGAUGACAGCUGGAGAGGACUACUUGCAGAGCCAAACUGAUGUUGUGCAAGGUGUAUUCAAAGUGGACGUUAUGAAUAUGAUGACCAAGUUAAGGCCCUUUGUGAAGACAUUCUUGAAGGACGCCAAUGAAAUGUAUGAGAUGUAAUUGUAUACAACUGGUGAACGAGCCUUUGCGCUAGAAAUGGCGAAACUGCCUGAUCCGAGGAAAGAGUACUCUGGGAUAGAGUGAUAUCACAUAAUGAUGGUACUGAAGAACACGGUCUGGGUGUUGGACAAGAUAGUGCAGUCCUGAUCCUCAACGAUACAGGAAAUGGAUGAACAAAGCACUCGGCAAAUUUACUGUUGGUUGAAAAGUACCAGCCUAGAUUUGGGAGCGAUGAAACCGAAUCUGAGGGUGCUCUCGCAACGAUUCUCUAAGCACUCAAGCAAAUUCACAGAAUCUUCUUUCACGUUAUCAAGGCGGAGGCGUUGAAGGCCAAACCAGGAUUGUUUUCAAAGACUUCUUCGCUUCAGAUGCUUACCGUGCGUGGAAGCUGACAGAAAAUUUGGGAGCAUGCUACGCUGUACGGAAAGGAGUAACAGGUAUUCUGAUGAAGAUAUUUAUCCUACUGACAAGAUCAUCCAUGCACGAAGACAUCUGAAGAGUUAUCUCUUGGAAAGGAGAUAACUCUUCGUUUAUUGUUCAUGACUAUAUCUAGUUACACCGCCUUCUGUUUAAGUUGUAUGGAUAGAUGAAAACUACUUGGCUGAAGUCGUUUCAUUACUACGUAAGUUCUCAAUUAAGCAGCUUUUUAAUUCUUUACAAAAAAAAGUUUCUUAAAUAUAUUAUUCGUCCAUCAGGGGUUUUAGGCAUCGACAAGGUCUAUUUCAUAGGGAGCGACUAUAGUUGAUUUCAGAGAUUGAUCUAGUGGUCAACCAGGGAAGAAGAGGGAUAAGGCUUAGAGAUCGGGUUAUUUCAGUUUCAGUAUUUGAUUGACAUAUAUAGGUUGUUUCAGUUUCGAGUAUAAAACUCUUGUUUUGUAAUCAGUUUGAGAGGAAGAAGGCUUAGCAUCCCUCCCAAACUGAUUAUAAACAACAAUUUUAUACUAGAAACUGAAACAACCUACAUACUUCAAUCAAAUACUGAAACUGAAACAACUUGAUCUCUAAGCCUUCUCCUUAUUUUUCCCUGGCUGACCAUUGGACCACAUCUUUGAAAUCAACUCCGGUCGCUCCCUAUGAAAUAGACCUUGUCGGUGCCUAAAAAUAUUCUUCUGCUCCUCGGUAAAACCCCUGAUGGAUGAAUAAUAUAUUUAAGAAACUUUUUUUUGUAAAGAAUUAAAAAGCUGCUUAAUUGAGAACUUACGUAGUCAUGGAACGACUUCAGCCAAACAGUUUUCAUCUAUCCGUACAACUUAAACAGAAGGUGGUGAAACUGGAUAUAGUCAUGAACAAUAAACGAACAGUUAUCUCCUCCCCAGGAGAUAACUCUUCGGAUGUCUUCGUCCACGAAUGAUCUUGUCAAUAGUCUGAAUAUCUUCAUUUGAAUACCUGUUACUCCUUAGCAUAGCACGGGAUCAGAUGCUCCGCUAGUCUCUCAAUGUCCACGUCAUAAUAUAUAGGCAUUCUUGCGCUAUUCGAAGUCAGCGAUUUCCUGAUCUGGUGCUCUCAGUCGUUUGUAGAUGCAGAAAACCAAGGUUGUAAUAUAUAGGCACUCUUGCUUUUGCGUUGUGAUGCUAUUUAUGAACACACCGGUGUCAACAUCAGCGAUUUCCUGAUCUAGUGCUACUCUCUUUGUCAGGCUGUAAUACAUAGGGACUUUUGCUUUUUCCUUUUGAUGCUAUUUAUGAACACACCAGUGAUCUAGUGCUACUCUCUGUCAGGUUGUAAUAUAUAAGGACUUGUUUUUUUUUCCUUUUGAUACUUUUAUGAACACGCAAGUGUCAAAAUCAGCGGUUUCCUGAUUCUAGUGCUACCCUCGCUGUCAAGUAAAAAUAAAAUCAGUCUCUCAGUCUUUUGUAGAUGCAAAUAUCCAAGGUUGUAAUGUAUAGAGGCUCUUGCUUUUGCCUUCUCAUGCUAUUUAUGCACCAGUGUCAAAAUCAGCGUUUUCCAGAUCUAGUGUUGCCCUCUUUGUGAGUGGUUGACUGAUCUAAUAUUGGCUGGGUUUGUUAGGUGACAUCCUACAUAGCUACAGUCUCAUCAGCUUCCAUUUCCAGGCAGACCCUCCGACAUUCCCUUUUCUCCUCUUUUGGGACAUGACAGAAGAAGGAUUACCAUACAAAAAGGGGAUGACAGAAGGAUUACGAUACAAAAAGAAACAAAUUAAUGCCCAGAUAGUUUGAUGCAUACAUACCAUAAAUAUGUGUAUCAUAAUAAUUAAUUAAAUAAUAUAUACUACAUAUCAUGCAAACGAGAGAUUUUUCAAUGUGUUCGAAAUAUGGGCAUAUAUGCUACAUGUCAUUAUAAAAGUGAAGGGAUACUUAUAUAAUGGCGUAACGGCCCGUGUUCCAGACAUACUAAAAAAUGGAGCACACCCUUUUAGCCGAUUGCUUGGCCAUGUCUGCCACACCAUGAGAAAGUAUUAUUUUCUUCAAAACCUAGACAAUAAUUAACGGGGUAAUGCUAGGGAGAUAAAAUUUGAAAACUAAAGGACCUGGAAGUUGGUAAUUGAUUUAUUACUUAAACGUUGAUAAAUGUGCUCAUUAGAAUUAGUGAUACAUCAUUUAGUUUGUAAAUUUAGUUUAUAAACUUAGUCUACUUAACAUUACCCUAAUUAAUUUAUUUCGAGUAAUGAUAGGGAGACUAAAUCUAGAGACUAAAUUUGCAAAUUAAAUGAUGUGUCACCAAUAGAAAUAAGCACGUUUACCGACGUCUAAGUAAUAAACCAAUCGUCAAUUUUCGUGUUCUUUGGUUUUCAAAACUUCGUCUCCAAAUUUAAUCUUUCUAAUAUUACUCAAUUUCUUUCAUAUUCGUAAUGAUAUGAACUUGCUGAUUGGAUUUUCUUUUGUUUGUACUCAUUGAUGAUGACAGCCAAAUUUUCCGGUUUCAACUCAAAUCCGGGUUUUGUUGUGAAAUCUGGAGGUGGAAAGAGGAAACGUAAGCCCUUGUGGGUCACAGCGCAGUGCCAAAUAUGGACAGAAAUUUAUAAACUUUUUCUGGUGCCAUUAAUUACCUUUUACAACUGCCAGAUUUUCCUGGAUUCUGAUUUACUGCCCUUUUUUGGGUAAGAUUUUUUCUUUGUUUCCAAUGUGAAUGAAUGUAUUAAAUAGCUAGGGUUUGUGUUAGCUUUAUCUAGGCUGGCCCAAAUAGAGUUUUUGAUGUUCUUCUAUAUAUAUUGGUUUUUGUUUUGUUUCUUUGAGAGGAACUUGUUUUAGCUUCAGGAGGAGCAACAGAUUUGCUGCUUCCAUUUAUUUGCAGCGGGUUACUCGUCGAGGUAACAGUCGUUAUCUACUUAAAAGAUUUCACUUCAUGUAGUUUUAUUUAAUUGUUUCUUUCACUAAUGGUUUUCAUUUGCGAAACUGCCCCAGCAAUUACUAGUUGAUGUUGAAGAACUUGAAUUUUAUUUACGAGAAAUUCAUUUUGAUAAUGAAUUUGAAUCAUUAAAGAAGAUUUCGUAAAUUGUUUACGUCUUAAUAAGUGACGCAUAUUAUGAGAUUCUCUCUUUUUUAUUUUUUUGAAUUGUUAUGAAGGUGCAGUACCUACAUAUACUUUUCGAAUGCUUACCGUAAAUUGUUUAUGUGUUAAUAAGCGAUGUGUGCCCCGA